rnacentral:rRNA from 1 species
AACGAACGCUGGCGGCAUGCCUAACACAUGCCAGUCGAACGAGACCUUCGGGUCUAGUGGCGCACGGGUGCGUAACGCGUGGGAACCUGCCCUUAGGUUCGGAAUAACUCCCCGAAAGGGGUGCUAAUACCGGAUAAUGUCUUCGGACCAAAGAUUUAUCGCCUUUGGAUGGGCCCGCGUUGGUUUAGCUGGUUGGUAGGGUAAAAGCCUACUAAGGCGACGAUCCAUAGCUGGUCGGAGAGGAUGAUCAGCCACACUGGGACUGAGACACGGCCCAGACUCCUACGGGAGGCAGCAGUGGGGAGCAUUGGACAAGGGGCGAAAGCCUGAUCCAGCAAUGCCGCGUGAGUGAUGAAGGCCUUAGGGUUGUAAAGCUCUUUUACCCGGGAUGAUAAUGACAGUACCGGGAGAAUAAGCACCGGCUAACUCCGUG